ensembl:lncRNA
AUGACGAGCGCAUCAUUCAGGAGAUUCAGAAAGAGGGCGAGAAAGAGCUCAACAAGAAGAACGCAGAGACUUCAGGGAAGAGAGUGGGCCCGCCCCCGGAACCUGUGGUGGUUGCUAAGCGACCUCGAGCAGCCCCCCCUCCGCAGGCGGUGCGAGCGCCCUUGUUGGUCCCUCCUCGUGUCAUUCUGCCUCAUCGCCAGCCCUUGCCCCCCGCCCCCUACGUGCCCCCACUCCUCCACCUGCCCCCCCUCAACUACCACCCCCCCCUCAACCAGGUCAACAACAACCUGAACAAUAUAGACGUCAACAUGCCCAUGCACUAUGGACCCCCCCCUCGCUACUACAGACACCUAUAACCCUCCUCCUCCUCUACAGACACCUAUAACCCCCCUCCUCCUCUACUACAGACACCUAUAACCCUCCUCCUCCUCCUCUACUACAGACACCUAUAACCCCCCUCCUCCUCUACUACAGACACCUAUAACCCCCCUCCUCCUCUACUACAGACACCUAUAACCCUCCUCCUCCUCCUCUACUACAGACACCUAUAACCCCCCUCCUCCUCUACUACAGACACCUAUAAACCCCCCUCCUCCUCUACUACAGACACCUAUAACCCCCCUCCUCCUCUACUACAGACACCUAUAACCCCCCUCCUCCUCUACUACAGACACCUAUAACCCUCCUCCUCUACUACAGACGCCUAUAACCCUCCUCCUCCUCUACUACAGACACCUAUAACCCCCCUCCUCUACUACAGACACCUAUAACCCUCCUCCUCCUCUACUACAGACACCUAUAACCCCCCUCCUCCUCUACUACAGACACCUAUAACCCCCCUCCUCUACUACAGACACCUAUAACCCUCCUCCUCCUCUACAGACACCUAUAACCCCCCUCCUCCUCUACUACAGACACCUAUAACCCUCCUCCUCCUCUACUACAGACACCUAUAACCCCCCUCCUCCUCCUCUACUACAGACACCUAUAACCCCCUCCUCCUCCUCUACUACAGACACCUAUAACCCCCCCUCCUCCUCCUCCUACAGACACCUAUAACCCUCCUCCUCUACUACAGACACCUAUAACCCCCCUCCUCCUCUACUACAGACACCUAUAACCCUCCUCCUCCUCCUACAGACACCUAUAACCCCCCUCCUCCUCCUCUACUACAGACACCUAUAACCCCCCUCCUCCUCCUCUACUACAGACCCCUAUAACCCCCCUCCUCCUCCACUACAGACACCUAUAGCCCCCCUCCUCCUCCUCUACUACAGACCCCUAUAACCCCCCUCCUCCUCCUCUACUACAGACCCCUAUAACCCCCCUCCUCCUCUACUACAGACACCUAUAGCCCUCCUCCUCUACUACAGACACCUAUAACCCUCCUCCUCCUCUACUACAGACACCUAUAACCCCCCUCCUCCUCUACUACAGACACCUAUAACCCCCCUCCUCCUCUACUACAGACACCUAUAACCCCCCUCCUCUACUACAGACACCUAUAACCCUCCUCCUCCUCUACUACAGACACCUAUAACCCCCCUCCUCCUCUACUACAGACACCUAUAACCCUCCUCCUCCUCUACUACAGACACCUAUAACCCUCCUCCUCCUCUACUACAGACACCUAUAACCCCUCCUCCUCUACUACAGACACCUAUAACCCCCCUCCUCCUCUACUACAGACACCUAUAACCCUCCUCCUCCUCUACUACAGACACCUAUAACCCCCCUCCUCCUCCUCUACUACAGACACCUAUAACCCCCCCUCCUCCUCUACUACAGACACCUAUAACCCCCCUCCUCCUCCUCUACUACAGACACCUAUAACCCUCCUCCUCUACUACAGACACCUAUAACCCUCCUCCUCCUCUACUACAGACACCUAUAACCCCCCUCCUCCUCCUCUACUACAGACACCUAUAACCCCCCCUCCUCCUCCUCCUACAGACACCUAUAACCCUCCUCCUCCUCCUCUACUACAGACACCUAUAACCCCCCUCCUCCUCUACUACAGACACCUAUAACCCCCCUCCUCCUCCUCUACUACAGACACCUAUAACCCUCCUCCUCCUCCUCUACUACAGACACCUAUAACCCCCCCUCCUCCUCCUCCUACAGACACCUAUAACCCUCCUCCUCCUACAGACACCUAUAACCCUCCUACAGACACCUCCUACAGACACCUAUAACCCCCCUCCUCUACAGACCCCUUCUCGUCCUCUUCCAGACUGUUAUCUAGUACCAGGUGUCUCCAGACAUUUAAUAGACUGAGAUGUGAUCAUGGCAGAACGAACCCUGCUAGCUGUUGCUUUCUACUCUUUAGGUUUGUUUCGUUUCGGGGGGUGCUGACCUCUGACCCAUUGACCUUGCUACUGUUCCAGAGAUAUUUUUGAUUAAAGCAUAAUGUUGUUCUGAGUACUGUUUCUGCUCAAUAAACAUUUUAGUUUUCACAUUCUGGUCCUGUCUGGUGGUUCCAUACACUUAACUUAUCUUAGCUUAAGGUCGUCCAUCGUAUCACAGACCUUUAUACUCUUAGCUUAAGGUCGUCCAUCGUAUCACAGACCUUUAUACUCUUAUCUUAAGGUAGUCCAUCG